ensembl:lncRNA
CAUGCUUACACUGACUACAGUGCAGGAAGGAAUGCUUUGUGGAGCAACUGGAAGAUACCAGAGACAUGGUUUAAUAGCCAACCAUCUACUGACCAGGCUAGCUAUGUCCCAGUGUCUCAUCAGCAGGAAGGGGUCAUUGCCAGUAGUGUGGAUCCUCUGUCAUUCUCAAGAACCAUGAUUGGGACUUGAAUGUGAAACCCGGGAGGGCCCAGGCUCAUGUGUUUGAACACUUGGUCCCCAGCAGGUGGCGCUGUGGAAAGCUGUGGAGCCUUUAGGAAGUGGAAUUUUCUAGAGGAAGUGAGUCGCUGGAGGUGGAGCUUCAGCCCUACUUCCUGUCUGCUGUCUAUUUCCGGACACAGACAGUAUGACCAACUAUCUCCACCUCCUGAUGCCACCCGUGCCUUCCCCGCCAUGAUGGACAGUGUCUCUUCAAACUGUGAGUCAAAUAAACCCUUUCUUCUUUAGUUGCUUCUUGUCAGGUACUUGGUCAAAGCAAUAAGAAAAAAAUAAUAUGGUAACUUAGUGAGGGUUUCUAUUGCAGUAAUGAAACACCAUAAUCAAAAAGCAAGUUGGGGAGGAGAGGGUUUAUUCAGCUUACGUGUCAGCAUUGCUGUCCAUCACUGAAGGAAGUCAGGGCAGGAACCUGAAGGCUGAUGCAGAGGCCACGGAGGGGAGCUGUUUACUGGCUGGAUUCCCACGGCUUGUUCAGCCCCUUCAGGACCAGAAGCCCAGGAAUGGCACCACCCACCACGGUUGAUCGCUAAUUGAGAAAACGCCUUACAGUUGGAUCUCAUGGAGGCAUUUCCCCAGCUUAGGCUCCUUCCUCUCUGAUGACUCUAGCUUGUGUCAAGUUUACAUACAAAACCACCCAGUACAUAUGGUGAUUCUAAAUUUAAAUUAAACCAGCCCAAAUUACUGUGCGGAGCUCUCCCCAAGAUGACUUCUAGAUCCUUGAGAAAAGCCAUUUUCUGUGGACCUUCAGAUCUGUGGCCCUCUUGCCUGUCUCAAGCUGGGCUCCGUCCUACGGUUCCGUCCUGGGGAGUAAGAUGGUGCCCCUUCUCAUCUGGUACUUUACCCUAGCACCACUGCUGAACCUCCUAGAAUCCUCACUGGGGGGCUGGAGACGUGGCUCAAGUGGGAAUGUUCUGCAGCCCCUCGGCGUAUCAGCCCAAGGCUUAUAAAGUCAAAAACCACAAAGUCAGACCCUGAUUUUAACAUAUCUGCCCUGCAGUUGUCUUAGUCAUUGAGCAGAGUCAGCAAGUUUGAUUACAAAAGCAGAAAUAGCAGUUCGUUUUAUAACCUAAUAUCUUGCAAGACCAGCAAAUUUUAUAAGAUCAGUUCAUUUAAGAAUAGUUCUCAAUGUCUGGGGAAAACACAGGAAGUGGGCUGGCUCCUAGGGUAUAUAGUCAGGGGCUUGUGUGUUAGAGGUAUUUUUUUUUCUUUUUUCUUUUUGGUCUCUCAAGCAUAGUAUGUCUAAACUUUAAAUGUAAUGUUAACCAUCAUAGUAGACUGCUUUCUGCCCAGACAUAAGGACCUGAGUUCAGAUCUGUAGCACCCAUGUAAGAAACUCAAUGUGUCCAUGAACACCUGGUACCCUGGCACUGGGCUGGGGGUUUGGGGGGGCAGAGACAAGAUGAUCCCCCGAGGGUGCUGGCUAGCAAGGUCCAGAUUCAUUGAGAGACCCUGUCUCAGAAAUAAAAGGUAGAGAACAAUGGAAGAAGACACUUGACAUCAACGUGUACAUGCACCCACGUGUGUGCACAUAUAUGCAUGAACACACACACACACAAACACACUCACACACACACACAGAGAGAGAGAGAGAGAGAGAGAGAGAGAGAGAGAGAAUAAAAUACAUAUUUAAACAAAUCAUUUGAUGAAGGAGCCAACAUGUGGAAACCAGCAAGUAUUUAUUUUUUACUUGUUAUAAAAUAAAUAUCAAAUGUAUUAUGCUGUCUUAAUCACUUUUUGCUAUUGUCUGCUACAGAAUGGCUAAAGAGGCUGCAACAGAGUUCAAGGGAGGCUGUCUGAGAGGCAGACACAAGAGGCUGAUAGGGUGGAAAAGAGGAUGUCUGGAGAAGAGGGCACUGGGUCAAACAGUGAACUUGCUGGAUGUCUUGUUGGAGACACUCUGCAAUGUGAGUCACAGGGACACAAGCUUCAUCCAAGUCUCAGGUUUUAUGUGAGGUGGAGAGGUAAGCAAUGGAGUCUUGGAAGCCAUAGAGAAAGGGCAGGACCAGAUCCAGACAAACUAACGAUGGAUGGACAGACAAUGUAUUUGAGUUAGCCUCUGGAAGAGUCAGAUGUCUUCUGCCUCUUGGUCCCUUACCACACCCACCGGAUAUCAGACGACAGGUCAGUGGGGCCAUGGCCACGACAGUGUUGUGUGUCCUUUUUUUCAUGAGGCCAGGUGAGGGAGUGCAUCUUUCCUGGUCUGGUGCAUUGUUACUCUUGCAGAGGACCUAGGUUCAGCUCCUUGCACCCCCCCCCCCCCGUGAUGACUCACAACCAUCUGUACAUCCAGUUCCACCAAUCCAAUUCCCUCUCUGGUGCCUCCAAGGGCAGCAGGUGUGCAUGAGUUGCACACACAUACGUGCAGGCAAAACACUCAAACACAAAAGAAAAAGAAAUAAUUUUUAAUGGUGUCAAAAGCUGCAUAUGCCAGGCAUAAUGAAUGGCACACACCUUUAAUCUUAGCACUAGGGAGGCAGAGGAAGGUGGAUUUCUGUGAGCUCCAGGCCAGUCUAGUGUACAUGAGAACCUAUCUUAAGAAAACAAAACAAGCUGGGUAGUGGCACACAUCUUUAGUACCAGUACUUAGGAUGCAGAGGCAAGCAGACCUCUGUGAGUUCAAGGCCAGCUGGGUUUACAAAGUGAGUUCCAGGACAGCCAAGAAAACAAAACAAACCAACAAAAAACUCCUGCAUGUAAAAUGAGACUUUUCAGGAAGGCAUACCACCCUAAAAAAACACCCUUUUGCACACUAUGGGGUAGCUUAGGGCAAAGCACACUGAACCCAUAGCAGAGCCAAAAUUUUACAGAAAAGAUUAAAGAAAAGCCAGGAAAUAUUCGUUGAUUUAAGUUGUCAACAUCGUGGGAAAGCUCUUUCUGGGAGGCAAGUUUAUCCUGUGACUGGCACCAGGGGCAAAACCUUUCCCUUCCCCCAGCAUUGCAAUUCCUGGGGAGAUUUAAUUCUUUGGGUGCCUUUGUUUCCAUAGUCUGAUAGAGGAGGGAAGGUUACAAUGGGAUUCUGGGGAAAUUUUAGUUCUUUGGGGCAGUUUGUCUACAUAGCUUGAGGAGGUCACAGGGCAGUUGCAGUCUCCUCAUUUUAGCUGGGGCCUGGGUGGGAGUUUCCUGGAAGCUGCCUUAGGGAUUCUUAAACUUAACCUAGGCUCCUCCAUCAAGUCCACUUCCUCUUCUCCAGGCCUCACUUUCUUAGCUGUGUCUGCAGUGCCAAGCUGGCCAUCUUUGUCCUUCCCGUACCCAAGUCAGAGAGUUCCCUGUAGAGCCAGUCCCCAUCAACAUUUUAAUAGUCUGCACGUUUCCCAAAACCCUUCUACAAACUGGAAUGGCAUCUAGGGCCAGUUUAAACAAGUCUAUUUAUAAAACUCAAUAGUAACAGUUCCCUAAUGUCCACGGGGCCUGAGGCAAUUCCACAAAGGAUGACAGAGACAUUGUGUGUGUGUGUGUGUGUGUGUGUGUAGAUAGAUAUGACACAAUCAUUUGAAAAAGUAAAGAUAGUUUUUAAAAACCAAUAAAUCUUUUAAAUCACUUUUAAAUGUCCUCAUAACACUCCAGACAGAAACAUAUGAAAAGCUGUUGUUAAAUGACUUCGAGUUGACAAAGAGCAGAAGGAAUCUGUGCAGACUUGAUCAUGCCUUCACCCGCACGCCCCUUCCCCAGGCUGGCCAAUGAGGCACUAAGUGACAGUGUAAUUGUAACUCAGGCUCCUACUAGCCUUAAUGUUUGUCUUCACUUUAACGGAAACAUCGCCUCUGUUGCUCCCAUCACUCCUGUGCUACAGUCCUGUCUGUGGAUGGUAACCACUUCUUGAGUCAUUGAGGUUCCCAGGUUGCUUUGCAUAAGAAUUCAUCUUCAAGAAACCUCAAUCAGCUAAUACAGAAAUUAAAAUGGUCAAUGCAAGUCUUGAAUUGUACCAGAAAUCCACACAUUUAAAUACUGCAUGAAGUUUCCAUAAAAGAGAUUAGCAUAAAAUAUACAAAAAUGUUUCAAUUUUACCACUGAAACUAUUGCUGCUUGGAUGCUAUUCACUGUUCCUUGAAGUUACAUGGAGUUGUAUGAUGACACUCACAUUGAUGCCACUACUUAGGGGACUGAGGCAGGAAGAUUUCCAGUCAGCCUGACCUAAACAGUGAGUUUGAGGCCAGUGUGGGCUGUAUUGCAAGAUCCUGUCUCAAAAAUCAAAUCAGAACCAGACAACAGUAUCACGAUUUUCUAGAGGAGUGACAGAAUCGGCUGCUUGGCUUUGCACAUGUUCUCAUGGGUCCCCUAGAUCCAUGUGCACUAUUUUAAAGUAAUACAACAGGCACCGAGGUGGCUCAGCUGGUGGAUUCACUUGCUGGGAAGCCUGAGCCUGAUACUCAGGAUCCACAUGAUAGAAGGAGAAACCAACACCUCAGAGUUGUUCUCUGACCUCCACACAACAACUGUGGCGUGGAUAUACCCCUGCCAACAAAAAUGAAGUAUAAAGCAAACAAACAAACAAAAACUCAAAAACAAAACAAAAAAAACAAAAACAAAAAUUCUUUACAGUGGCACAAACAGCUUAACAUGGAAAAGUGCUUUUCAGACACCAGAGACAGCGCCGCAUGCGGCCUGUUGCCUUCAGGGAUUUUUCUGGACCUCACUAAUGGGAAAUAGGUGCUGAGCUCUAGAGGGGUUUAAUAAAGACUAUUUUGAAUCGUUUUCUUUCCCAGUGCUCCCAACAUGUGCAACUGAACAGCCUGCAAACUUUAUCAGCUCUGGGGUGACGCCUCCAGUCUCAAGGACACAGCUCUGUGGAGGAGCCUUUGAUUGGAACCUGGAACCGGGGCAGCGGUUUAGUGUUAGGGCCACUCUGUGCCAAGUCCAUGUGGGCUUUGCCGCGUUUCGUGGGAGGUGGUGUUUAUAAAGAUUUUGAUAUUCUAAAUCUUGCUCAAGGGCAGGCUCCUUUUGUCUACAACAAAUACGAAUCCAACUGGCGACAUUGCUGAGAACUAGAUGUUUGGGAAGUUCUUCCUAGAUGGGAGUGGAGUUUUCUGGAGGUCCUGUCCUUAAGACAUAAACACACAGAUAUGGCACUUCUGGGCCAGCAGGGGGCGCUCACUUUCCAUCCAAGCUGGCUGACCGCAGAACUAUGAGCCACUUACAUGCUCACUCACCCAGCGUGUGUGUGUGUGUGUGUGUGUGUGUGUGUGUGUGUGUGUGUGUGUGUGUGUGUGUGUGUGUGUGUGUGUGUGUGUGUGAGAGAGAGAGAGAGAGAGAGAGAGAGAGAGAGAGAUUCACUGACCAAAUAUUGUCUCAAAUCUAAGUCACACUGCAGCCCUGAGCCACUGCCUGGCACCCUGCUGAGCAACACAGCAAGAACACUGGGCACUUGCUUAACUCCAGUCCCCAAAGCCUGGGCAGCUCCAGGAAGGGCUGCUGGAGAUGAAGCUGGAGAAUCCUAGUGAGUUCCGGGGGCCCACAGUGGACUCUCCCUGAGGUUUCUCCUGGACAUACAGGAGAAAAGCAUUUUCAAACUUCCAUUUGGAGCUGGAGAGGUAGCUCAGCAGUUAAGAGCACCUGUUGUUGUUCUCACUAUUAUUAUCUCAUAUAUUACAUCCCAACCACAGUUUCCCCUCCCUUUCCUGCCCUGAUUCUCUCCCCACAUCUCCCCUCUCCCCCAGGUCUGUGCCCCCUUUAUUUCCCCUCAGAAAAGAGCAGGCCUCCCGGGGACAUCAACCAAACAUGGCAUAAUAUUCUACAAUGAAACCAGGCACAUACCAUCACAUCAAGGCUGAACGAGACAACCCAGUAGGAGGGAAAGGGUCCUAUAAGUAGGGAAAAGAGUCAGCAAACACCCUGCUCCAAUUGUUAGGUGUUGUGGAAUAUUAUUUUAACUGGGCAAAGAUGUGUUACAUCUGUUUAUGCUGUGGAAUGUUACUUUGACUGUGUAAAGGUGUGUUUCUUUUGUUUAUACUGCAUUUGUUUAAUUAUAUAAAGAUUUGCUACCUCUGUUUCACCUUGCCUGCCAAAGGCACCUGAUUGAUGUAAUAACGAGCUGAACGGCCAAUAGCUAGGCAGGAAAAAGAAUUGGUGGGGCUGGCAGGCAGAGAAUAAAUAGGAGAAAUCUAGGCUCAAGAAAAGGAAGAAUGAGAGAAGAGAGAUGCCCAGGGCCAGAAGCCAGACAAUCACCAAUCAGCCAGACAUAGAAACAGCAAGAAAGUAAGAAAAAAAGUAAAAAGCCCUGGAGCAAAACAGGUUAUUUAAGUUAAAAGAGCUAGCCAGAAAUGUGCUCAGCUAGGCUGAGCAUUCAAAACUAAGACUGAAUCUCCGUGUCAUGAUUUGGGAGCUUCCCCAAAAGAAAAAAGCCUGGUACAAUUAGGAGUACCACAAGAACACCAAGCUACUCAGCCAUAGAUUUUUGCAGAGAACCUAGAUCAGACCCUUACAGGCUCCCUGAUACCUUCGAGCCCCUAUGAGUCCUGGUCAAUUGAUUCUGUGGGUCAUGUUCUCUUGGUGUCCCUGAGUCCUCUGGUUCCUUCAAUCCUCCCCCCCCCCCCCCACCACCAACAGGACUCUCCGAAGGAGCACCUGUUUUUACAAAGGACUCCAGUUCAAUUCCCAGUACCCACAUGGUGGCUUGCAAUCAUCUAUAACUCCAGUUCCAGGAAAUCUGACACCCUCUUAGGCCUCAGUGGACCCUGCACACAUGUGGUACACAGACAUUAUAUAUGGGCAAAACACAUGCAUAAAAUUAACUAAAUAAAUAUGGUUUCUAAUCCUCCAUAUUGCAGAUGGUACUGUUCAGUGUAAUGUGCUUGCCUAGGAUGUCCAAAACUCUGGGUUUGAUCUUUAGCACUAGAGAGAGAGAAAAAAGAAAACCUUCAUUCUCUCUCUCUCUCUCUCUCUCUCUCUCUCUCUCUCUCUCUCUCUCUCUCUCUCUCUCAUUUUUAGGACAGGGUUUCUCUGUGUAGCCCUCACCAUCCUGGAACUUGUUCUGUAGACCAGACUGGCCUCAAACUCACAAAGACCCACCUGUCUCUGCCUCCCGAAAGCUGGGAUAAAAGUCAUGUUGUCACCACUGUCCAGCUUGAAAACCUCCAUUUUAAUUGGAAAAGGGGACAGUUGAGAGCUAGAUGCUAUAUUUGGUGUUUGGAGUCCAGGUCAAAGUUUAUCUAUUCUAGAAGGAUGAUCCAAGGAACUGCUAGGAUAAGAUGGUCCUGGAGUCACGUAAAAGAGCCUGGGUCAUGAGCCUGGGGGUUCCCCCAGAAUCACCCCUCAGUCAAACGUAGCACUGUGAGGCCAUGACAAGGGACCUGACACCUGAGACCACUGUUGGGUGAUUAAAGGUGGGCAGUGGUUGAAGCCACGUCCUGUGAGCGACGAAUGAGUUAGAAGUGAGAUUUCAUCACACAACUGAGAGGAGCACACAACUGAAAUCCUAGGAAGUCUUUAGUUCUAGAGUUUUCCAUUUAGUACUUUUGAAUGUCAGCCAACCAUGGUUCACUGAAACCUCAGAAAGAAAAACUUCAGGUGUGUGGGAGGCUGUUGCACCAUCACCAUAGUUGACAAGUGAGGACCCCAAGUUAAAAGACUUGGUUAUGUUGUCCAGCUGACAUUAGAGCUCAGAUCCAAACCCAUCCUGCUAACGAAGCCAUACACUGAACGCUGUAGGCAAUGACCAGGAAAUGGGCAAUUGCCACCAUGAGCCAACAAGGACAAAGGCCUCAGUUUCUGGGGGUAAAAGGCUGGAUUUGGAGCUGACGGCAUAGUCUCUAUCAGCCCUCCCUAAAACAAACUACAGUCUGAAUUGGAAACAUCUGCUCUGCUGAUUUGGCUGAUUCAUUCAACUUGUGGCCUUUCCCAGAAGCACCAUGGGAAUUCUUUAGUCUCUGUGGUCCUGCAGUUUGAGCUGCACAUACUCGUGGAGCGAUGGCCUGGUCAUGUGACCACCCACAAGUUUGUUUUAAUGUCAGUAUUUUAGGUGAGGCUACCAGGUUGUGCAGGUAUCAAGUGUGAACUUUAGGCUUCCCUUGUUCAGCCCCAGGACACAUGACAACAAACAUCACAAAUAUGGGGUUGAAAAGCAUCACUUUCCCUCUCAUAGUAUCCUGGAAGCCAAGCACAGCAGCUUUGUGGGUGUCAAGGAGGAACCCCAUUCCCUUAAGUGUGUUUCCUGUUGGCUGCUCAUGCUCCUUCCCCCUUUCCCAGGGUUCCCUCCAGCAGCAGUGGGUGAGUUUCUCCCAUGUUCUGUGCCCCGCUACACUUUUAUCUUCAGUGUCUCAGGACUGUAGCUAGAAAGGCUCUCUGCCUUUAAGGGCUCAUGUGACCAUGUUAGGCUCAUCCAUGUAAUCGAGGCUCUCCUCCCUAUUUUAAAUUCUGUCAUCUCAACUCCAUUCACAAAACUCCUUUUGCCAUGAGACAUCACAUAUUCACAGGUCUUGGGGACCGUGGUGGGGACAUCAGUGGGGAGGUAUUCUGCCUACAGAGGGUUAGGGGAAGAGUUUACGGAUCCUGGUGACAGAUGAUAACAUAAUGAAUCUGUUAUUUCUAAACGCAUCAAGACCUGUAAAAUCUCCCCGUUCUCCUGAGAGUCUUCCUCUAAAUAGAUCCCAACUAUGUGAGGAGAGGCGUGGUAGGAAUGUGUUUGAGGGGAGAGAGUGUAGGGUGGGGCCGUAACUGAUUUCCGCUGUCUUCUCUUUUGGAUCGGACUUACUCGGUGGCAAGUUUCUUUUGCUUAAAGCACUGUUUGACAAAUGUCACCUUCUCCAUGGAGACCACCCGUUUCUCAUCAUCACCAGCUGCCCCUCCUCCAACCGCCCACUCCCACUGCUAUUUGGAGUUGAAAGCUGUUCACUUUCAUAAAAUCCUCACCCUUGAGGUGUGUGUGGGUGCUGCUUAAUUCUCUCAUUGGAUACUGAUUUUAUUUAGAAAUCACUUAAAGGAGUCGUUAAAAAUGAAAAUUCCUGGGCAGUUUCUGGGAAACUGGAAAUGUUGCUUAGAUAUCUGGGUGUCGUGGCAGCAGAUACCUCUCUCUACUCUCAACAUUUGGGAGGUGGAGGCAGAAGGAUCAAGCGUUAUCCUUAGUGGGGUCAAGGCCAGCCUGAGUAGCUGAGUGAGAUUUUGUCUCAAAAAGCAAACAAAACAGCAACCAAUGAAAACAACAGAAAGAAAGAGAAGAAAGAAACAUUGCCUAGAAGAGGGUCUAGCUCCUUAUUCCCAACAAGCUAUGGGGCCCAAAUGCAGAUCUUAGCAUCUUCAGUGUCCAGAGGCCUCUGAUGAGAUACUGGAUUUGAAACGUCGCCACCCCAUGGUAGGAGAAGGAACUGCACCUCUGGUGUCACUGGACUGAGUUCCUGAGAGCUUAGCUCCUGUGCUCACAUUUCUUGUGUACAGUGCAUGCUAUUCAGGGCACUGGGGCUCCCAAAUAUGUAUCCUUCAAAAUUUGGUUAAAAGAAGGAAAAGUUAGGAAGACUCUCAGAGGUCUAGUAGUAGAAGUAUCGUUCAUGGAUGAGCAAUGCCCCUGGGCAAGCAAGCAGUCAUUAACACAGGAAGAGGGAACAGGAAAGAGACAUACAUUGGGUCCCAUAGUUUGAGUAGCUGAUCGAGGCACCCAGGCUGACACCUCUGCAGAGCCUCCAUUGUCUGGGGCUGAUUGGCAGGUGAGCCACCCUUCUGGUUGCCACUUGAACCCUGGGGCCUCAUCACCUCCCGACUGUGAAGCCCUAGUCCCCAUCUGCUUCCUUGGGAGUGUGGGUCAUAUUCACUCUUCCUUUUCCCUCAGUAACUGCCGGCUUCAUCCAGCCCCACCCCUGAACAAAAGCCCUGAUCCCCAGAGGCCCAGCCUCAGUGGGACCAGUUGAAUCUUUUAUCUUCAGUUUUGGAAAGUCAGGUCCUGAGUCCUAUUGUAUGUGACAUCCUUUCCAGCUACUUAAAAUGUCUGGAUUAGAUCUCCUGUUUUAUCAGUCUGCUGCAAACAGUGAAGCCUGGCCAGAGGCAAACUCUUUGCCACAGGCACUUCCUGCCCAGAGAAAUUGUUCUGGAAAUUUCCUGAAUGAAGCACCCAGUCUCCAAAAGAGGACCUGGUUUUUAAGAGUCUUCUAGGAGAUGCAAAUUCAGGCGGCAAUGUCUCCAAGAACAGAAUGGACCCCUUGACUUUUCCCUGCUUGGAAGUCAGAUGAAGUCUCCCUUAUGACUGCAGAUCUUUCUCCUAGGCCCACUCUUAGUUCCUACAGAACUUUCUUUAGGCCCAGGCAUGUGGCCGGCCAUCUGGUGACACCAUGGGGCUGUGGAUCUUCAAGGUCACCUAGACACUACAUCUUACAAAAUUAGCAUCAUCUGGGAAUGGUGCUCUUUGCUUCGCCCCUCAACCAUCAAGAGGAAGGCAUUCCACACAGGCCUCUGCUGUGACAGGAUGCUCUGGGACCCCUCAGAGCCUGCUGAUGCACAGUCAUUUUCUUUUAAGAUUUAUUUUAUGAGUGUGAUUUAAAAAAAAAAAAAUUGUGUCUGCUUGCACGUAUGUUCCUCCUUGGUACUCUCGGAGACCAGAAGAGGAAGUCAGAUCCCUUGGAACUGGUGGCUUUGAGCUGCCAUAUGGGUGCUGGGAUUAAACCUGGAUCGUCUGAAAGAACGGCCAGUUCUCCUAACCACUAAGCCAUCUCUCCAGCCCUGUAUGCAUGUAUAUAUUUGUGUGCAUGUGUAAGUGGACAUGUGUGUACAGUGCCGGCAGGGGCCAGAAGAGGGCACCAGAUCCCUCAGAGCUGGGCUUAGGGUUGGUUGUGAGCCACCAUUGUAAGCACCUGGAAACCAGCUGGGGUCCUCUCUAAGAGCAAGUGCUCUUAACCAGGGAGCCAUCUCUCCAACCUCUCCAUUUGCUUUCAGCAGCAGUAGUGUGUGUGUGUGUGUGUGUGUGUGUGUGUGUGUGUGUGUGUGUGUGUGUGUGUGUGUGUGUUGCAGUCUUUACAUAAUUUCUGAUUUAUUUUUUCCCCCUUUUUGGUGGAGAAUCCAUAAAGACAUUGGCUUUAGCGGUCCCCUAGCUCUCAGCGAUCUCUCAUCCAGACAGGAUGCAGUCUCCUCUUUGAACCUGGCUUUGCCAAGCAGAGUUACCCUCCUUCAGGAAUGGCAUGCAUGCUUGGAAUGUGAUUUUAUCUUAUCGGCCUCCUCCCCAGCUGCCAAGGUCCUAGCCAGGCUCCAUGGAGGGUUCCAGAAACUUUUUCUCUUUAAAGCCACUUGCCAGGAGCCUGCCCACUGCUCUUCUAGUUUCAACCUGUUGCUUCUGGGUCCCUCCUCUCCCAAUGACCUCUGGCCUCCUGCAAUGCUGAAUGCCUUGCGGGCGGGAGUGGGGGCUAUGGGGGAGAGGAUAAAAAUCAAAGUGAUUCUAGAAACUUCAUUGUGUACUUUGAUGUUUUGAAAAUUCCGUGGUGGAAGAAUAUGGAGUUCAGCUUUUAAUUAAUGAAAGCCCACCCCGGGGGACCAAACUAUGGGAUUAAGUCAAUAAUAAGUUCCAAAUCCAGGAAGCAGAUGUUCUGAGGUGCGUUUAUUUAUUCAGCAUGGACACGUGUGGUGCCGUGAUCUGGCUGCCUAAGUGCUCUUACAAGACCGGAAAUCCUUCCCAAGGAAUUUUAUACACGAGAAGCCCCUUUCCUGCCUCCUAGUUUCCAAGACUAUGCUUUGAAACUUAACACCUGGCUGGCUCGGUUCCCUCUGCAACUCAAGGUCUCCAUCAUCUGACCUUGAGCCCAUGACCUACUUGUUAGGGGAGCCUCCCUGACAGUAGGGAAGGUGAUAAAUUACCCCACAUAUAUUUGCCUUACAGACUAUUGUGUUGUCUUUAAGAAGAACGGUGCUUUAUUCUAAGAAAAUGACCGAGCACUGCGGUACCGUUCCACCGUGAACUAGCCCCAGUUGCUGGGGUGACAGGGCUGCAUCAUCAGGCUGGCUGGCAGCCAAUUCCAUACACCAGAUAGAUGGUGGAACAGAAGGAGUCUGUCUGGAAGGAGUCUCAAGAAAAAGGAAUUCAAAAUGGAGGCACUUUGGUUCGGGCAAUUCAACAGGUGUCUGGAGGCCAUUGGGCACACCCACCCAGAAGCAAGCUCACCCUGGAAGUACUGCUGACAUCCCCUAGCCCCCUCCCACAGCACUCCCACCCACCAAGUGAGCCAGAGGCUAAGCUAUCCCCAAGCUCUUCUUAACAGCUUAACUUUAAAUUCCUGACUAAUGGAUGAUGUCAUUGCCAGCCCCUUGAGGCUCAAAGCUAAACACAGAGCAUGUUUUUCUAGGCAGCUGGAGCCUGUGUUUUCCUAGACUGCAACCCUAAUUAGCCCCAAACAAAUGCAAUGCUCUUUGUGUUCCAGUGGGCUGAAUUUUCCCUUUUCUGAAUCUGCUUUGGGUGUCAAGUCUAACAAGACAACUUGGACCAGCCCUCUCCUCUCCUUCCUUCAUCUGAAAGAUUUCUGUUUUAGAUUCAAGUCUGUGAUGCAGUGUGAGGCAUGGCUCUGAGUCCAUUUGAUUUGACUUCUUUGUUUAUUUUUUUAUUUUUUUUUUUUUUUUGUCCAUAGCUGCUCAAGGUUGCUUUGUGCUGACUUUUGAUAGUCAAUCCCGCCUGCUCUGUGAUUCAUUUCAUUUUUGUAUUUUGCUUCCCUGGGAGCCUCAGGCUAGCCUGAGGGUUUGACUGAACAGAGAGAAAGCAUUUUUUGGAUCAUGUAACUCAGUACAGCAUUCCCACUGAACUUCCUGCCUAGCUUCACUCGCAGGGUUGAGAGAAUAAAUUGAAGGUAUGUUUGAGAAAGCAGUUUACAGUUGCAAGUCCACAGAGCAGAUGUGCAAGCUAUGUUUGCAUGUGUCGCGUGUUGGACAGUUUGGGACAAGUCCGACAUCCAGAGAGUAUAGCCUUUGCAACUGUAGCAUAUUUUCUGUUGAGGUGUUUUCUGGCACAGGCUGCUCCCCCCACAAAAAUACUGAUCUGGCUAGUCAUGUAUCCCUUAUCAGCCAAUAUUUUAUUUAUGUUCAAAGGGGCAAGUAACAAAGUAAAAAUAAGGAUAUUAAAUUUUAUUUUUUCUUUAUUUUUAUUUUGAGACACGGAGUCUCACUAUGCGUCCUGGCUGGCAUGGAACUCACUAUAUAGAUUUGAUUGGCCUUGAUUUAAGAGAAAUCCACGUGCCUCUGCCUCCCAAAUGCUCAGAUUAAAGGCGUGCACCACCAUGCCCAGGUAGUAAAUUUCUUUAUGAUACAUUAUUAGUAAUCGUAUGAUCUGUGUGACUAUGCAAGUAUAUCUAACUAUCUGGGGUCACACAAAAAUUUCCUGGGUUGAGAGUGGUUUGGGAAGGGUGAUGAGUAGAAACAGAAGCCUGAUGAAGCUUGCUGUGGGUUGUUUAACAAUGCAUAAUUACUGUGGAUCCCAGGAGCUCUGGCAAGUCUUGAACCAGAAGUAAUGUACACCAGAUCGCUCUGACUUUCUCCAGGACACUUGCACAGUCACAGUGUGCUCUCCAGAACUCACAAGCCUCCUAGUUCAUGUGUGCUCAGUACCAUUCCAAAAGACCAGCAGCAGCCAUGUCCAAACGGCACAAGUAACAGAAUCCAGCAAUUAAGGAAGUUGCUGCAGAGGUCCUGAGGUCACAUAUGACCCCCUCCUCCAGGGCCAGCAGGGACGAGAUAGGGGGAUGGGGAGACAUCAAGUAACUCUCUUGGGAAGUCUGCUUGGGCUCCAGAGAUAGGUGCCGGGCGCCCCUGGGCCUGGAGGACACUUACUGUGAACAUAUGAGAGUUCAUAUCAUCAAUGGUGACAAUGUUAGUAUUAAUAAAGGUGGGCUUCCUGCCUCCCCCUCCCCCUGCCCCCCACCAUGAGCAAUCAAAAGUUCAGAAGUGGCUCCCAACAGCUUUCCAUCCUCACUGAAUAGUAGCUGCCCUGCCACGAUGAAGCAUGACAGUUUGAGGUCUCUCCUUCUUUUUGUUAAUUGGUACCAUUUCAUAAAGACAGCCUGCCUCUCCAUCCUCUUUCUAAGGUAUUAUUUUAGAUCUGUGCAUACAUUCAAAUUGUGCCACAUUUAGCCGGCAGGAGCACUCUCUUGUCAGCCAUUCUUGCAUGCUUCUACAUUGUCUUUGGGCACAUCCUUAUUCUGAGAUUGGAAGACACUCGAGCUGACUUUGUCCCAUCUCUCACGGUGGUCUGGACCUGUCACUUCUCUCUUGGUAGAGACUGGUGUUUAGAACUCAAACUCGGGGUUCUCAUUACUGUCUGGUGCCACUAGGGAGACAAGAAAUACAUUUUUUAAAGUCAUGUAUCUACCUGGUGAAGCCUUUACCUUCAAUCCAGUGUCUGUUGGGUCACCCUCAGAUCCCCACAGCCCUGUAAGUUCACUUCUCCUUUCCCAUACAGACAUUUCCCAACACCUAUACAUGUACGCAGUCAUCCAUUCUUACAACUGGCAAACUAUUUUUGUAAGGGCCACCCCACUGCUGCUUCUGAAAAGAAAGACAUCAAGCAAUACUCAGCGUGUCUUUGCAGCUCCCUUGUCUUAAGAUGUCUCUCUCUGGGAAGAGUCCAGAGAAAACCCCCAAAGCCCAAUGAAUUGCAGUAUGCCUGUGGGGUGAUAUCAAUAUGAUAGACGGCUUCCUCCCCCCGCAUCUGCUUCUGAUCAAAAGCUAAUAAAUAACAAAUAAAUCAAAGUGGAAGAGAGUGUCUUUGCAGAAAGCACUUGGGGACUAUCUCCCAGGGCAUUAGAAUGGAGAUUUUAACUUCAGUUGAAGAGAUGGAUGUGAUGAAAACUGGGCCAGACUUCCAGAGGGUGAGUUCUCGGACUUUUCUCCACAGUUCUUCUAAGCAAUCUUAAAUAAGGGUGGGGAUGAACCCUGAGGUAGGUUCUGGGCAAACUGGGAAAAUAAAAAUGUUGUUUGGUGACGAGCUGGUGGAGCACCUUGUGAGUUCAAUAGAUCAAAAUUCAAAGCGGGUGCUGAAUGUCCAGCCUGAUUGGGUUAUGUGUUGAGGGCUACAGCCUUGCUUCCCAGAUGCUGAGGCUUUGGGGAAGUGAAGAAUGCUGAGGCUGUGUGUGUGUGUGUGUGUGUGUGUGUGUGUGUGUGUGUGUGUAAGAGACAGGGAGAGGGACAGGGGCAGGGAAGGGAAGAGAGAUCAUGGAUAUGCACAUCUGUGAAGGCCAGAUGACAACCUCAGGUGUGGUUCCUCGGGUGCUGUGUGUGUGUGUGUGUGUGUGUGUGUGUGUGUUGUGUAUGGCACUGAUGCACAUGUGUGCACAUGAAUGGCCUUAGGCUGAUAUUCUGAGUCUCCCUCGGUCGCUCUCCAGCUUAUUCAUUGAGACAAGUCUCUGAAAUGAUCCCAGAGGUUGACUCUCCCAUCCAAUGUAGCUAGCCAAAUUCUCCAGGGAUCCCUGACUUAAACAAGUUCUGGAAUUACAAGUGGUCACCAAGCCUACUGGGUAUUUACAUGGGGUAGGGGUCAGGUCCUCACACUAUGAGACAAGUACCUUAUUCACGGAGUCAUUUCCCAGGCCCUGCUUUCUUGUUCUUCUUCAGACAGUCUCCUAUUGGCCGAGAGUUCACCAAGGAGCCGAGGUCAGUUGGCCAAUGAGCCCCUGGGGUCUGCCCGAUGACAUAAUGCCAAACUUUGGUCAUGAUAGAUAGUGGUGUGUGUGUGUGUGUGUGUGUGUGUGUGUUAUGAGUGCAGGUACCCUCAGAAGUCAGGAGAUGGCAUUAGAUCACACUUGAGCAGAAGUUAUAGGUGGUGUGAGCCAUCCAAUGUGGGUGAUGAGAUUCAAGUUUGGGUCCUCUCAUAGAUUGAUGGAAAUGAAGAGUUGGCUUUGGUCAAAGGAACUGGGUCACCAGGAUAUGCAUUAGGGAUGAGCCUUACCCUGACCCCUUUCUGUCACUCCCUGUCUCCAGCCCACCACAAGGUGAGUUGCUUUGCUCUACCAUGGACCCUUGGACAUGGAGCUCCGCCUCACCAUGGUGGGUCUAGAAGCAACAGAGCAAGAGACCAUGAAUUGAAACCUUUGAGACCAUGAAUCAAAAUGAAUACUUCUCCUCUUAAGUUGUUCUCAGAUAUUUUAUCAUCACGAUGGAAAGUACUAUACCCCUGGUAUGUUUUCUGUUGCUAUAACAAAGUCCCCAAGGCUAGGUUCAUUACAUAGAAAACGAGUUUAUUUGGCUCACUGUUCUCAAGUUCCAAGAGCACAGUGACAGCAUCUGGUUGACUACAGCAGGGUCAUAGCAGAUGGCCUCACAGCAGAUGGUCUCGUGGUUGUGGGAAUGCGUUUGGAAAAGGGAUUCAGGGCAGGUGCCAAACCUGAUUAUAUCAACCCAUUUCCUCCAGAACUAAUCCAGUCCAACAGACAGACUUAAUCCAUUCACGAAGCUUGAAAAGCCAUGACCUAAUUACCUUUCACUGGUCCCCAUGUCUUUAAUGUCUCACCACUGUAGCCCACACACAGGAACAAGCCUGAAGCACCUAGCCUCUCAGGGACAUACAUCCAAGUGAUGCCGAAGCCAAUGUCCACUGGGUGUUCAGACUUACCGAGCAUUUUAAACUGGUUACUGCACAACUGUGCCUAUUGAGGGUGGCUGGCAGAAGCUUCCAGGCUUUGGCAAUUUCUCUCUGGGAUGACUGUCAUUAUCCCAUGAGGACUCUGCAGCUGUGUUUGGUUGACAAACUAUUGUGACCAAAGUUUGGCAGCCGUAUUUUCCCUAAAUGUAAUAACACAGGAGAUCAAUUAACAUUCAUGCAAAUCCCACUAUUGUAAAAAGAUUUUAUUUUAGUGUGUGUGUGUGUGUGUGUGUGUGUGUGUGUGUGUGUGUGUACAUGAGUGCUAGUGUCCUUGGAGGUCAGAAGCAUAGGAUCCCUUGGAGCUGGAGUUACAGGUGGUCAUGAGUCACCUGACACAGUGCUAGAACCCAAACUCAGGUCCUCUGUUGGAACAAGACAUGCUCUUAACUGCUGAUGAGCCAUCUCUCCAGACCCAGGUUCCAUCAUUUUCAAACACUGUAAGAGUUCUUUAACUGAGAUCCUAGCAAUGCUAUUUCUCCCUGAGAGGUGACUGUGGGGAAAGCUGAAUGGGCAACAGAAUUAAAACAUCCCAACUAAAGUGUCUCCAGCUCUGCAAGCAGCCAACUGCCUGUGUCCUGUGAAUUCAGCCUGUUGACCCCGAACCCCCCUGCUUCUCGAACCUACCUAGCUACUAUUCAUCAUCUUGUGUUUCCUUGGGAACCAUUGAUAAGAUUUCAAAACACUUCAAAACAAUAUAACUGUUCUCUGGAGAUGUUUCCAUGGUUGCGGGGGAAACACGGUUCUCUUUUUGGCUGCAGGAAGGGAAAGAGUGGAGACUCCCACACCACAAACAAAACUGUAUCUCCAAGACCAGCUCACCUCAGGGUGUGUAGACCCUCAGGGAGGUCCAGUCCUGUAAGGUGGAGUCCAGCCUCUGCCUUCUUGUUGCUUACUAUACAGGGCCAGAGGCUGUGAAAUCAUUUUCACUUCCUCCAAUAUGACUAGAGACUGAAACUCUAGGGAGACAUGUGCCCUCGAACUGUGUAGCUCUUGGGUCUCUGUCUCUGCCUCACUUCUCUGUUUCAGUCCCUAUCGUGUCUCUCUCUCUCUCUCUCUCUCUCUCUCUCUCUCUCUCUCUCUCUCUCUCUCUCUCUCUCCCUACCCUAGUCUGUAUCUUGUAAUUAUCCAAGAUCAAGGAGAAAAUGAGCAAAGCUUUGAAGAAUGGCAGACCCAGGACUUUGGAUCUGGCUCCCCAAAUCCCUCUGUCUCAGUUAGGAUAACUAUUGCUGUGAUGAAACACCAUGACCAAAAAAAAAAAAAAAAAGCAAGUUGGGAAGAAAGGUAUCUAUUUGGCUUACACUUCUGCAUUGUAGUCCAUCAUUGAAGGAAGUCAGGACAGGAAGUAACACAGGGCAGCUGAUGCAGAGGCUAGGGAGUUCUGCUUGCUAGUUUGUCCCCUAUGGCUUGAUCAUCCUGCUUUCUUAUAUAACCCAGGACCACCAGCCCAGGGAUGGCAUUGCCCACAACCGGCUGGGUCUGCCCACAUCAAUCACUGAUUAUAAAAACGCUCCACAGGUUUCCCUACAGCCCGAUCUUGUGGAGGCAUUUUCUUAUUGAGGUUCCUUCCUCUCAGAUAACUUUAGCUUGUCUCAAGUUGACAUAAAACUAGCCAGCACACCCUCCAAAUGAAAAGAUGUACCCUGUAUGCAUAUGGACAGUGGCUGGCGUGAGAUUUUUUUGAGUCAGGCUGAUCUAGUUGAGCCUCGUCUUAACGUUUUUCAGGGAAGGUGUAGCACAGCCUUGGCUCCUGCGUGGCUCUUGCCCGGGACUAAGGUAGAACCUUUCAGACUGUUUACUGAAUGCCCUGCUUGCUUGGUGAGGUCUUCUGCCUGGCUGGGCAGAUUUUGUGUUCUAGCAACUGUCCAACAUACUGACUGCACAGUUCUUCCCUCCCCAGGUAGAUCUGGGCUGUCCAGCACAGUGACAGUGUGGUCCAAGUACCAGUGGGUCCACAAAGCCCUUCACUUUGACAAAGCUGGGCCAUAAAGCUGCAGAGACCCUGAUGGUGUGAGCACUCACUGCCCCAUCCAAGGAGAUGUGCUAAGCAAUCACAGUCGAUAGGCACCCACCAUGUAAGUGGUUGUUCACACGUAAUAAAACAGAUGCUGGUCCUAAAACCAUGUCUGGAGUGAAUUGUUCAUCUCCUUGCUCUUUACAGGGCAUUGCUGUCCUGUCAGGGGACGUCCUUGUGAAGCAAGUGUGUUGCCCAUAGUAGGGGGCCAGCUUGUCUUGAUGCAUUCUGUAGCGAUGCAUAGACGAGUUUCUUCCUGAAACCGAAGGCCUGCUGAGCCUGCCCCGCUGUGGGAAUUCCUUCCACAAAGUCCCAGCUGCAGACUGGUCCACAUCGAAAAUCUAGACCUGAACAGCUGCUCACACUGGGAGUCUACUGAGAGGCCACUGUUGCCGAAAAUAGCCUGUCAGUCCUGUGUUCACACCCGGAGGUGGCCUCUCUCCUCCCCUGGCCUGGCUGAGAGCUCACUGUGUUACUGGGAGUCAC